GUUGUUAUUAAAAAGGCCCACAGAAUGGGAAUCAGAGGCGGCACCAUCAGAGGACAAAUUAUAUAAAAGUGAGGAUGGAUUUACCAGAGAGUCAUAUUUGAACCAGAAGUUUCAC